GCCUGGCUGGCUCAGUCGGUAGAGCAUGUGACUCUCGAUCUUGGAAUCAUGAGUUCGAAUCCCAUGUUGGGCA